rnacentral:rRNA from 1 species
UACAGAGGGUGCAAGCGUUAAUCGGAUUUACUGGGCGUAAAGGGCUCGUAGGCGGCCAACUAAGUCGGAUGUGAAAUCCCCAGGCUUAACCUGGGAACUGCAUCCGAUACUGGAUGGCUUGAAUCCGGGAGAGGGAUGCAGAAUUCCAGGUGUAGCGGUGAAAUGCGUAGAUAUCUGGAGGAAUACCGGUGGCGAAGGCGGCAUCCUGGACCGGCAUUGACGCUGAUGAGCGAAAGCUAGGGGAGCAAACGGG